rnacentral:rRNA from 1 species
UACGUAGGGUGCAAGCGUUAAUCGGAAUUAUUGGGCGUAAAGCGCACGUAGGCGGCUUGGCAAGUCGGAUGUGAAAGCCCUCGGCUCAACCAAGGAAGUGCAUCCGAAACUGCUGAGCUUGAGUACUUAAGAGGAUCGCGGAAUUCCCGGUGUAGAGGUGAAAUUCGUAGAUAUCGGGAGGAACACCAGUGGCGAAGGCGGCGAUCUGGGAAGAUACUGACGCUGAGGUGCGAAAGCGUGGGGAGCAAACAGG